UACGUAGGGUGCGAGCGUUAAUCGGAAUUACUGGGCGUAAAGCGUGCGCAGGCGGUUUGCUAAGACAGGUGUGAAAUCCCUGGGCUUAACCUGGGAACUGCGCUUGUGACUGGCAGGCUAGAGUACGGUAGAGGGGGGUGGAAUUCCUGGUGUAGCAGUGAAAUGCGUAGAUAUCAGGAGGAACACCGAUGGCGAAGGCAGCCCCCUGGGCCUGUACUGACGCUCAUGCACGAAAGCGCGGGGAGCAAACAGGAUUAGAUA
rnacentral:rRNA from 1 species